rnacentral:rRNA from 1 species
AGAGUUUGAUUCUGGCUCAGAACGAACGCUGGCAGCGUGGAUUAGGCAUGCAAGUCGAACGAGAAGCUGUGAAUUCAAUCUUCGGAGAGAGUUCAUGGUGGAGAGUGGCGGAAGGGUGAGUAACGCGUGGGUAAUUUACCUUAAAGUCGGGGAUAACUUCGCGAAAGCGAAGCUAAUACCGGAUGUGGUGGUCCUUCGCAUGUAGGACUUACUAAAGGUGGGGACCUUUCGGGGCCUGCCGCUUUAAGAGAAGCCCGCGUACCAUCAGCUAGUUGGUGAGGUAACGGCCCACCAAGGCUUACGGUUAGCCGGCCUGAGAGGGUGACCGGCCACACUGGGACUGAGACACUGCCCAGACUCCUACGGGAGGCUGCAGUCGAGGAUCAUUCGCAAUGCGCGAAAGCGUGACGAUGCGACGCUGCGUGGAGGAUGAAGGCCUUCGGGUCGUAAACUCCUGUCAUUCGGGAAGAACGACGCCGAUGCUAAUACCAUCGGUGUGUGACGGUACCGGAAGAGGAAGCCACGGCUAACUCUGUGCCAGCAGCCGCGGUAAUACAGAGGUGGCGAGCGUUGUUCGGAUUUACUGGGCGUAAAGCGUGCGUAGGUGGUGCCGUAUGUCGGAUGUGAAAUCCCAUCGCUCAACGGUGGAAUUGCAUUCGAAACUGCGGGGCUAGAGUACAGGAGAGGAGAGCGGAAUUCUUGGUGUAGCGGUGAAAUGCGUUGAUAUCAAGAAGAACACCGGUGGCGAAGGCGGCUCUCUGGAAUGUUACUGACACUGAGGCACGAAAGCUGGGGGAGCAAACAGGAUUAGAUACCCUGGUAGUCCCAGCCGUAAACGGUGCGCACUUGGUGUGGGAGGUAUUGACCCCUUCCGUGCCGGAGCUAACGCGUUAAGUGCGCCGCCUGGGGAGUACGGCCGCAAGGCUAAAACUCAAAGAAAUUGACGGGGGCCCGCACAAGCGGAGGAGCAUGUGGCUUAAUUCGAUGCAACGCGAAGAACCUUACCAGGGUUUGACAUGCAGCUGCAAGCCCCGUGAAAGCGGGGCCGCCUUCGAGGGUGCUGCACAGGUGCUGCAUGGCUGUCGUCAGUUCGUGCCGUGAGGUGUUGGGUUAAGUCCCGCAACGAACGCAACCCCUAUGUUUAGUUGCCACCGCAGGUGUUAAAGCCUGCGAGCACUUUAGACAGACUGCCCGUACAAGCGGGAGGAAGGUGGGGACGACGUCAAGUCAGUAUAGCCCUUACAUCCUGGGCUGCACACGUGCUACAAUGGUCGGUACAGAGGGAUGCAAGACCGCGAGGUGGAGCAAAUCCAGAAAACCGGCCUCAGUUCGGAUUGGAGUCUGAAACUCGACUCCAUGAAGUUGGAUUCGCUAGUAACGGCGCAUCAGCUACGGCGCCGUGAAUACGUUCCCGGGCCUUGUACACACCGCCCGUCACAUCAUGAAAGCCGUCUGCACCCGAAGUCGCUGAGCCAACCCGCAAGGGAGGCAGGUGCCGAAGGUGUGGGUGGUGAUUGGGAUGAAGUCGGAACAAGGUA